GUAGGUGGCAAGCGUUGUCCGGAAUUAUUGGGCGUAAAGCGCGCGCAGGCGGUUCUUUAAGUCUGAUGUGAAAGCCCACGGCUCAACCGUGGAGGGUCAUUGGAAACUGGAGAACUUGAGUACAGAAGAGGAAAGCGGAAUUCCACGUGUAGCGGUGAAAUGCGUAGAGAUGUGGAGGAACACCAGUGGCGAAGGCGGCUUCCUGGUCUGUAACUGACGCCGAGGCGCGAAAGCGUGGGGAGCAAACAGGGAUUAGAUACCCUGGUAGUCCACGCCGUAAACGAUGAGUGCUAAGUGUUAGGGGGGUUUCCGCCCCCUUAGUGCUGCAGCUAACGCAUUAAGCACUCCGCCUGGGGAGUACGGCCGCAAGGCUG
rnacentral:rRNA from 1 species